GCCCAGGGCUGGAGGCCAGGAGAGAUGCGUCCGAAGCUUCUAGGUCCCUCGGAACACUUGGCUGGGGAUCAGCUAUUCCUGUAAGGAGCUCACUCUUCUCUCUGGGAGUAGCCAGUUGCUCACAUCGCUGGAGUCUUCAUUGGGAGGUCACAGCAUGUGAUGGGGAAGGAAAUGGACAGGAACAAGCAAGCGUUGCUUUGGCAUGUCACCUCAUGAAUUUGCUGUCUUCAACCAUUAACAAGGUGAUGAUGAGACUGAAGCCAGAGAGAUAAAGCACCCUGCUUGCUCAGAGCUGAGCAGACUACCUGGGGGUUCCAAUUCUGGCCCAUUGCUCUUUCCACUGGGUACAUCCGCCCACCUCCUUCUCACGACAUCCUUGAUGGAGCACAUAUUUGAUUCUCAUGGUCAGAUGGCAGAGCUGAAGCUGGAAGUGAUGUCUUAAGUCAAUUAGCUCCUAAAUGGGAGGACCAGAAUUCAAACUCAGUUCUCUUCAACUCUCAGGCCGACCACUCUUUUAAAUUCACAGCUCUGCUGCUUUCCUGGAAGGCUUGAAUCAUCAGUUGUGUUUAUCAUGCACUGUUGACAUUAGCACCUACUAGGGCUUUUAACUAAUGCCCUACUGCCAUAAACUGUGUUUUCUGUUUUAUUUUAAAUAUUGGUCCAGAGCUCCCUUUGUGGUGAAACUUUUG
rnacentral:lncRNA from 1 species